UACGUAGGGGGCAAGCGUUGUCCGGAUUUAUUGGGCGUAAAGAGCGUGUAGGCGGCCAUUCAGGUCAGCUGUGAAAACUCGAGGCUCAACCUCGAGACGUCGGUUGAAACCGUUUGGCUAGAGUCCGGAAGAGGAGAGUGGAAUUCCCGGUGUAGCGGUGAAAUGCGCAGAUAUCGGGAAGAACACCCGUGGCGAAGGCGGCUCUCUGGGACGGUACUGACGCUAAGGCGCGAAAGCGUGGGGAGCGAACAGG
rnacentral:rRNA from 1 species